rnacentral:misc_RNA from 1 species
GAGUGACUAUUGUAGCUUAUCUGCAAUAUACUAAAUUCCACUCCAAUCCAGUUGGCAUUUAUAAGUUUUAGGUGGUCUGUCCAUUUGUAUCUUAACCACCCAAUGUGUCUUGUUGCUUGGGUGUGAUUCUGUUUGGGCUUGUGCUUAGGUUGAUACUGAAAUUGGGGCUACGUUUAUCAUGACCCACAUCCUACAUUGGUAGUGAACUGGAGAGAUCCUUGAUAUAUUUG